ACCUGGCAUACAAUGUAGAAUUCUGUGUUCGUUAAGCAACAGCUACAUUGUCUGCUGGGUUUC
rnacentral:pre_miRNA from 1 species